CCUAAAAGGUGCCCAAAAGGCAGGAGUCUUAAUACCAUUUCAAAUCUUACCCAGAGAUAAAUCAAGAGCUUGUUUUUUAAUUACUAAGAUUUUGCUUACAAUACCAUGAAAUACAUUCACUGUAAGUGUACAUACACAGUUCAGUGAUUUUUAGUAAAUUUACAGAGUUGUGCAAUCAUCACUUUUAAGUAGAACAUUUCCAUCACCUUAAACAGCUCCUUUGUGUCCACUGGCAAUCACUCCCCACUCCUACCUGCUGUUGAAACACUGCUCUGUUUCAACAGAUUUACCUUACCUAACACUAAACAUAAAUGGAAUUCUACAACUUAAUCUCCUGUCUUUUCACUUAGCAAUAAUGUGUUUGAGAUUCAUCUAUGCUAUGCCAUGUUUAAGUAGUUUAUAACAUUUUACUGCUGAAUAAUACUCCAUUAUAUGGAUAUAUCACGUUUUGUCUAUACAUUUACCAGUAGAUGGACAUCUGCUAGUUGCUAGCAAUUAUAAGUAACACUGCUAUGAACAUUCACAUUCAAGUUUUUGUGUGGAUGUAUCUUCUCAUUUCUUUGGGUUACAGAACUAGAAAUGAAAAUGCUGGGUAUCAUGGUUAACUCUGUUCAGCAUUUUGAGGAACUACCAACCUAUUUAUAUUUUACAUAGUAAGAAUUCCAGUUUCCCCACAUCCCCACCAACACUUGGUACUGUCAGUCUUUGCUUAUAAUUGUUUUAGUUGAUUGAUAGCUCAUUUCACAUGGAGACAAAGAGCCUACAACAUCUACAUUAGCUGCCACAACUCCUUUGAAAAGAAAUUAUACCUAAAGAAAAGUUAGAAUAAUACAAAUACUUAGAGUCACGAUUAGUUACUUUGCCAAUUUCUAUAUAUAUUUGGGGGCAUGUUUUGCCAAGACACUUUGCUACACCAGCAAGUUGGAAACAUGACAGCAUUUUGUCUCUAAAUAUUUCAGUAUGUAUCUUCUAUGAAAAAGGCUCCUACACUGCUAAAAUCUAUAACAUUCAGAAAAUUUAACAUUUAUACAACACUAUCAUUGUUUAAUGUAGAACUGAUAUUCAGAUUUUCCAAAUGUAUACUGUAUGGGUUUUUAAAAACAAUUUAGCAUUCUGCAUUUAGAUGUAAGAUCCACUUUGAGUUAAUUUUUGUGAAGGGUGUAAGAUCUGUGUCUAGAUUUAUUUUUUCACAUGCAGAUGUUCUGUUGUUCCAGCAUUAUUUGUAGAAAAGACUACCUUUUUUUAGAUCAUAAUACUGCCUUUGCUCCUUUGUGAAAGAUCAGCUGACUAUAUUUUCAUGAGUCUUUUUCUUUCUUUUUUUGAGACAAGUUAUUUCUCUGUUGUCCAGGCUGGAGCAUAGUGAGUGGUGUGAUCAAAGCUCACUGUAGCCUUGAACUUCCAAUGCUCAAGUAAUCCUCCCACCUCAGCCUCCCAAAUAGCUAGCCAGGUGUGCAUCACCAAACCAGCUAAUUUUAUAUAUAUAUAUAUAUAAUAUAUAUAUACACACACACACUUUUUUGGGGGGUGGUUAGAGACAAGGUCUUGCUUUGCUGCCCAGGCUGGUCUCAAACUCCUGGCCGCAAGUGGCCUCCCAAAGUUCUGGAAUUACAGGUGUGAGCCACUGUGCCCAGCCUGCAUGCGUCUAUUUUUGGGCUCUAUAUUCCAUUUAACUGGUCUAUUGUUUCACUAAUGCCACAUUAUCUUGUUUAUUACAACUUUAUCACAAGUCUUGAAGUCAGCUACAAGAAUCCUCUAACUCUGUUCUCUUUAAACACUGUGUUGGCUAUUCUGGAUCUUUUGCCUCUCCAAAUGAACUUUAGAAUCAGUUUGUUACUAUCCACAUAAUAACUUGCUGGGAUUUUCAUUGGGAUUGUACUGAAUCUAGGUCAAGUUGAGAAGACCCGACAUCUUGACAGUAUCGAGUCAUCCUGUCCAUGGUCAUGGAAUAUAUCUCCAUUUACUUAGUAGUCCUUCAAUUUCUCUCAUCAGUUUUGUAGUUUUCCUCAGGCAGUUCAUAGUUAGAUAGAUAGAUCAUAGAUUGAUUUAAACCUCAGUAUUUCUUGGGAGAAGUUCUAAUCUACCUACCUACCUACCUACCUACCAACCAGAAUGAGAUGCCACCUCACACCUAUAAGGAUUGCUACUAUUCAAAAAACAAAGUGGUAUUGCAUUUUUAAUUUCAAAUUCCACUUGUACAUUGCUGGCAUAUUGUAAAAUGACUGACUUUUAUAUUAAUCUUGCAUCCUGCAACUUUACUAUAACUGCUUACUAGUUCCAGGAGUUUUUUAGUUGAUUCCUUCAGACUUCCUACAGACAAUCAAGUCAUCUGUGAACAAAGACAAUUCUAUUUCUACCUUCCCAAUCAGUACACAGUUUAUUUCCUUUUCUGCCUUACUGCUAAUAUUAGCUAGGACUUCCAGUAUGAUGUUAAUCAGUGGCAAGAAAGGAUAUCCCGAUCUUAACAGGAAAGCUUCUAGUUUCUCAUCAUCAUGAUGUGAGAUGUAGGACUUUUGUCGACAUUCUUUAUCAAGUUUCAGAAGUUUCUGCUCUAUUCCUAGUUUGCUAAGUUACCAUGAAUAGGUUGUCGACUUUAGGUUAUCAGAUUUCUGGGCAUAGAGUUGUUCAUGGUAUGUUCAUGGUAUUUCUUGGACUAUGUUUUUAACUUCCAUGGAACCUGUAGUGAUAUGCGCCCCCAUCCCUUUUUGAGAGUCUCACUCUGUCGCCCAGGCUGGAGUGCAGUGGCACGAUCUCAGCUGACUGCAACCUCCGCCUCCCAGGUUCAAGCAAUUCUCCUGCCUCAUCCGCUCAGGUAGCUGGGACUGUAGGCACGCACCACCAUGCCCAGCUAAUUUUUGUAUUUUAAGUAGAGACAGGGUUUCACCAUGUUGACCAGGCUGUUCUUGAACUCCUGAUCUCAGGUGAUCUGCCCACCUUGGCCUCCCAACAUGCUGGGAUUACAGGUGUGAGCCACCGCACCCAGCCAAAUAUGCUCUAUUUCUAUUAUUAGUAAUUUUUGUCUUCUCUCUUAAUAGUUUGGCUAGAGGCUUACUGAUCUUCUCAGAAAUAACUCUUGGUUUCGAUGAUUUUCUCUAUUGAUUUCCUGUUUUCAAUUUCAUUGACUUCUGUUCUAAUUUUUAUUAUUUCUCUUCUGCUUACUCUGGAUUUAAUUAUUUUCUCAUUUUGUUAUGUGGAAGCUUACUGAUUUCAGAUCUUUCUACUUUCUUCAUGUAUGCAUUCAAGGCUAUAAAUUUGAACAUCUUAAAAAUUUACCAGUUUUUUAAAUUUUUACAUAGUCUGGCUUAUCAAUUAUUUUUUUCAUUAAUUCUGACUUUGGUUUUGUAUCUAAAAGUCAUCACCAUAACCAAAGGUCGUCUAGAUUUUCUGUUAUCUUCUAUGAGUUUUAGAGUUUGGCAUUUUACAUUUAACCGAAUGCAUACAUUAGGAAAGUAGAAAGAUAAGCAUUAUUUCUGCUACCUCCUACAAAUUGAGAAGUUGUAUUUUCAUUUUCAUUAGAUCAAAAUAUUUUAAAAUAUAAAAUUUUUUCUCUGCCCCAUGAGUUAUUUAGAAAUGUGGUAUUUAAUUUCCCAGGUAUUUGGAGAUUUUUCCAGCUAUCUUUCUGUUACUGAUUUCUAGUUUAUUUCCAUGGUGGUCUGGGGACAGAUACUAUGUGAUUUAUCCUCUUUUACAUAUAUUAAGGUUUGUUUUCUUGCCCAGGUUGUAAUCUGUUCUGGUGAAUGUUCCAUGUGACCCCAAGAAGAAUGUCUGUUCUGCUGUUGUUAAUGAAGUUGUCUUUUGAUGUCCAUUAUCUCCAGUUCGUUGACAGUGUUGCUGAAUUCAACUAUGUCCUUACUGAUUUUCUGUCUACUGCCUCUGUCCAUUUCUGAUAGAAAGGUGUUAAAAAUCUGCAACCAUAAUAGUGGAUUCAUGUAUUUCUCCUUCCCAUUCUGUCACGUUCUGACAUGUAUUUUGACACUGUGAUUAGGCAUCUAAACAUUAACAGCUAAAACUAAGCUCCUAUGUAUCAAAGUACACAACAUAAUGAAAAGGCCACCCACUAUGGAGAAAACAUUUGCAAAUCAUGUAUAAGGAGUAAUAUCCAGAAUAUAUAACAAAGAACUCCCACAACUCAAUAACAACAACAACAAAAAGCCCUGAUUUUAAAAACUAGCAAAGAUCCUAAAUAGAUAUUUCUUAAAAAAUGAUGGAGGCCAGGCGUGGUGGCUCACGCCUAUAAUCCCAGCACUUUGGGAGGCCGAGGCGGGUGGAUCACAAGGUCAAGAGAUCGAGACCAUCCUGGUGGUCAACAAGGUGAAACCCCGUCUCUACUAAAAAUACAAAAAUUAGCUGGGCAUGGUGGCGCAUGCCUGUAGUCCCAGCUACUCGGGAGGCUGAGGCAGGAGAAUUGCUUGAACCCAGGAGGCAGAGGUUGCGGUGAGUUGAGAUCACGCCAUUGCACUCCAGCCUGGGUACCAAGAGCGAAACUCCAUCUCAAAAAAAAAAAAAAUGAUGGACAAGUAAGUUCAUAACCACAUGUAAAGAUUUUCAACAUCACUAAUCAUUAAAGAAAUGUAAGUCAAAACCACAAUGACAUGCCACCUCACACCUAUCACCUAUAAGGAUUGCUACUAUUCAGAAGACAAAGUAACAAGUGUUAACAAGGAUGUAGAGAAAUCAAAACUUUUGUGGACUGCUGGCAGGAAUGUAAAAUAGUGUAGCUGCUGUGGAAACUGUGGUGAUUCUUCAAAUAAUUAAAUACAGAAUUACUGUAUGAUCUAGUAAACACCAACUCUUAGUGUAUAUCCAAAAGAAAUGAAAUCAGUGACUCCAACAGAUAAUUUUAUACCUGUUCAUAGCAGCAUUAUUCACAAUAGCCAAAAAGUGGAAGCAACUCAAGCAUCUACUGACAGAUGAAUGGAUAAAUUGUGGUACACACAUAAAAUGAAAUAUUAUUCACAGCAUAAAAAAAGAGGAAAUCUGGCUGGGUGCGGUAGCUCACACCCGUAAGCUCAGCACUUUGAGAGGCUGAGGCAGGAGGCUCACUUAAGCCCAAGAGUUCGAGAUCAACCUGGGUAACAUGACAAAACCCUGUCUCUACAAAAAAUUUAAAAAUUGGCCAGGCACAGUGGCUCACAUCUGUAAUCCCAGCACUUUGGGAGGCUGAGGCAGGUGGAUCACAAGGUCAGGAGUUCGAGACCAGCCUGGCCAACAUGGUGAAACCCUGUCUAUACUAAAAAUACAAAAAAAUUAGCCAGGCGUGGUGUCCUGUAAUCCUAGCUACUCAGGAGCCUGAGGCAGGAGAACUGCUUGAACCCAAGAGGUGGAGGUUGCAGUGAGCCAAUAUUGUGCCACUGCACUCUAGCUUGGGCAACAGAGCAAGGCUCCAUCUCAAGAAAAAAAAAUUAAAAUUCAAAAAAAUAAAUAAAAAUUUAAAAAAUUAUUGAGGCAUUGUAGUGUGUGCUGUGGUCUUCAGCCACCUGGGAGUCUGAGAGAGAAGAAUCAUCCUAGCACAGGGAGGUCAAGGCUGCAGUAAGCCAUGAUCACACCACUACACUGCAGCCUGAGUGACAACACAGACCCUGUCUCUAAGGGGGGAAAAAAAUCUGACACAUGCUAUAACAUGGAUAAACCUCAAAGGCAUUAUGCUAAGUUAAAUAGGCCAGUCAUCAAAGGAUAAAUGCUGUAUGAUUCCACUUAUAGGAGGUCCUAGUCAUAUUUAUGGAGAUGGAAAGUAGAAUGGUAGCUGCCAGGGGCUGGAGGAAGAGGGCAAUGGGGAACUACUCUUGAAUAUGAAGAGUUUCUGUUUUCAAGAUGAAAACAGAUGAAUGGAGAUAGACGACAGUAAUGGUUUCACAAUAGAAAUACUUAAUGCCAAUCAACUGUACACUUUCAAAUGGUAAAUGUUAUGUUUAUAUGUAUUUUACAAUUUUAAAAAACUUUUUUAAAAAAGAUGCACUGAAACGACCAGCUUUAUAUUCCUUAGAGCAGUGGUUAACAGAGCCAUGACUCACGCGGCAUUUGCAGUGACCGUUGACUGCAGACUGCUGUACCUUUGGUCUAGUGUCACGCAAUAUUCCAACACACCAUCUUGAGUGGCCCAGACUAUCUUCACUGAUACGAAGGACAGGUCUCAUUUCCCUGACAAACUAUCUUCUCAUCCCUGUCUCCUGCCAUUUUAUCUUUCCUUCUCUCCCCAGUGCGUCUUCCUUGGAAAAGAAAAACUCAUUAAAAAAAAAAAAAAUCUGGUACAGUGGCUCAUGCCUGUAAUCCCAGUACUUUGGGAGGCUGAAGCAGGAGGCUCCCUUGAAUCCAGGUGUUUGAAACCAGCCUGGGCAACAUACGGAGACCUCAUCUCUACAAAAAAUAAAAAAGAUAACCAGGUAUGGUGGUACAUGCUGUAAUCCCAGCUACCAGGAAGACUAAGAUGAAAGGAGUGCUUGAGCCCAGGAAUUUGAGGCUAUAGUGAGCCAUGAUUGUGUUGCUGCACUCCAGCCUGGGUGACAGAGCAAGACCCUGUCUCAAAAACAACAAAACCCAUUAAGACGAAAUAUAAGUUAAUUUGGAAUUUUAUCACAUGAAAAUCUAAAGUAAUUGGCAUGAUAUACAACUAAUAUGUAGACCAGAUCACUCCCUGUUGACCCUUGGCUAGCAGAAAUACUCAUGAUCAGAGUAUGUAAGAGUAUAUUACUUUAAAAAAAAAAUUAAAAAUACCAUGGUACCUUUACUUAUCUUCUGAAGACUAGUCUUACAACUUUUUUGACUGAAAUAUUAAGAUAAUAGUAAAUAGAUUAAAAUAAUUAAGGUACACACACAGACGUAAGAUAUAAUAGACAUUCCUUAUACACUUUGUCCAGUUUCCCCCAUGGUAACAUUUUACAAAACUCAAGUAUAAUCUCACAACCAGGAUAUUGAUACUGAUAGAAUCCACAGAUCUUAUUCAAAUUUACCAUCUUAGCAAUACUCAUUUAUGUGUUUUUAUGUGUGUAUUAAGAUCUGUAUUUUAUUUCCCAUUUACAUGUGUGUGUCUACCCUCAUAAACAUAUUAAACAGUUCCCAAACCACAAAGAUACCUAUAUACACCUCUCCCUAUCCCUCGACCCCUGGCAACCACUAAUCUGUUCUCAAUUUAAUUUUGUAAUUUCAAAAAUGUUACGUAAAUGGAAUCAUACAGUGUAUAACUUAGUGGAAUUGUCUUUUUUGCUCAGACUAUUUCCCUGAAGAACCAUCCAAGUUCAUGCAAGUUUCAAAAGUUUGUUCCGUUUUAGUGCUGAGUGGCAUUCCAUGGCACGAAUGUACCAGAGUUUCUUUAACCAUUCAUUUACUGAAGGACAUCUGGGCUGAUUCCAGCAUUUGGCAUUAGAAAUGAGGCUGUUAUGAAUAUUCAUGUACAGAUUUGUCAACUAUUCCUAAGACUUUUAAAGUCCAUUUCAGUAAUUCUGAUUUUGAAAACCUUGCAAGGCAUAUCUGAUGGUUAUUCAUUAAAACAAAAAAAAUAUUCCUUUUUUUCAACUACUUUGUACAACAGAGUAUAGUAGCACUGGUUUUGUAAGAAUGGAGAAAGGUUUAAUAUUUCAACAAUAUAGCCUUAAUAAAAUAAAAAAUAAAUAUACUCACCAAUAAAAGCACUAUCAGAUUCCAAUAAUGAGUUUUUCAAGAAAUCACUAGUGUCAUCUCUGGGCUAAAAGAAACAUGUAUCAAUUACUAUUUUUAUUAGUUUUGUGUGGAAAAACAACAAAUUUGUACUAAUAAGAGGCACAGGUUUCCAUAUUGUUCUCCCUAAAAGCAGAAGAGGAUGAGGAGAAGUAGGACUGACUACACUCCAAUGUUCAGAAAAUACUGGAAAGCCUUAACACACACAAUUCCCACCAAGACAGUGAUAGCAAUGGAAGACGCUCUCUCCAGGUUACAGAUUCUACAAGCUAACACAUUUACUCCCUAACUCCACUCCUUCCUGCCCCCUUAUGGUUGAAGUCAAAUAAAAGGAUCACAUUAUGAGUGAUGAAAAUAUGAGUAUGAAGCAAAGAUCCCCAUUAAACAUUAAGUCUUUAAGCCACAGCCAAGAUUCAUUCAUCCUUUCAAUAAACCUGUAUAGCAUACUUAAUAUUUCUUCCAUGCUAGGAACUGGGGAUACAAAGAUGAAUUAAGAGUUUCUGCUCUGGAGUAGGUCAGUGUCAGAGAAGGGAGGGGUUUACCCUCAGAUAAUGACAGCCCUAUGUGACAGCAAUUGUCAUGAUGAUGCAGCACAGACACAGCGGACCAUAUAGUAUAGUAAGGACAAAAAUAAUGCUAAGGUUGGGCUUAUUAUAAUGAGCUACAAAAUGAAAGAAAAUUUAAAUUUACAUAAAGAGAGUAACAACACUGAUAUGUCAGAAGGAACCUAAAGUCAUCCAACUCCACCUCCCUGCAUUUUUACCACAUUUCUGGGCUUUACUAAGACACUCCAGAGGAGAGCUGUCCAUUAAUUUUUAAGGCAAUGAAUUAUACCGAUGCACAGCAUUCAUUAUCAGAAAAUGAGCUUGUCUCUUGCCUAGAUUACUGCAAUAGCCUGCUGUCCCACUCAGUCUAAAUGCACAGCAGUCUGUGGAUUAAGUAAAAACCUCAAGCAGAUCAUGUCACUCUUCCACUUAGACCUUGGUGGCUUCUCAUCACAUGCACAAGUGUCAAAGGCAAAGCCCUGGAAUGGCCCCCAAGGCCCUGCUGCCUCCCCUUGACACUCCCCACCCCACGUGACCCGCUGGCCCUUGCUUAUGGCUCUCCCGCUGCUCCUUACAUGCACCAUGCCAACUCCCACUGGGGCCUCUUCCUGGAAUGUUCAUCCUCCAGAAGUCCCCCCAACAAUUAUGGCCACCUCCUGGUGUCCUUAUUUAAUCGAAUGUUCCCUACCCAGUGAGCCCCCAUGCCCACUGUAUUUCCAGCUAUAAACUCUCCCACCCAGGGUUCUCCAGCUGCCUUCUCUGCUGUUGCCUUUCCCAUAGCACCAUGUUUCAACAAACUAUCGAUGUAUUUGAUUAUAUUCUGAAAAGUAAGCUGUCAGAGGGCAAGGAUUUUUGUCCCUUUUGUUUACUCCUAUACCCUGGCACCUAGAACAAUUUCUGGUCCAUAAGAAAUACUCAUUUCAGUCUUGCAGAAAAAAGUACCCCCUCAGGAUAUGGGUGAGAGUUAUCGCUCUGUUUCCUUCUUUUGCUUAUUUUAUUUGUAGACCUCAGCACUACUUCCAUUACAGACUCCCACUCCCGCUACUUCUCAUGGUAAUGACAGCAAACACAUCGCAGUCAUCAUGGGCCAGGCCCUGCUGUAAGGGCUUUUAAUAUAUUAUCUCACUUAGUUCUCUCAACAACACUUGAGCUAAUUUUAUUUAUUUAAUAACACUUAUAUAAAACUUAUAUGCCAGGCCUAUCUCUAAAUAUCUUGCAAAUAUUAAUUUACUCCUUAUAGCUACCUCAGAGGUAAGUACUGUUAUCCUCACUUUACAGAUUAGGAAGCUGAAGCAUAAAGAGAUUAAAUAAUUUGCCCUAAGUCACACAGAUAAAAAGAGACUAACUGGAACAGCCUAGCACUAGAAUCCUGUUCUUAGCUAUUACAGUAUGUUUUCUCUAUAUAUUAUACUAACACUUGUUAAGCUAUCUACUUCACUGAUAAGACUCAUGUUCUUUCAUAAUUCAAUAUUCCUGAAUAAUUCAAAAUUUGAAUUACUUGAUCAUCAUAUGCCUAUAAAUUUUUAAUCCCCCAAAAACUAACUUGAAAAAAUUUUAACUGGUUGCUUACCAUUCUUUGCUUUCGUACUUUAGCACUUGGGAUGGCAUCUAAGUCAACUAUAGUCAACGGAGAACAAAAGCAAAUUAAAAGAUGUCACCUGGCCUGGUCAAAGUAUUAAUCCUCCUGGCUACAGUGAAUGGCUAAGCCCCUCUCAUGCAUGAAUACAUCACCCCAGUGGAGCCACUCGGAGCUCUCUCUUACUUCUUCUUUUCUGGGACUACAGGCCAAACGGGCCCUGUGAACAUAGGGCUGCCAGUGAAAGGAGGAUGCCUGGGACUGAAAUCAAUAGAAGAGAUGCAGAAAGCCUACAGAAGAACAGCAUGCUGAUACUAUUUGACACAACAAUGAUUAGUUUUUACCUUUGGCACCUUCCUGCAUUUUUAUUCUGUUCAGCUUCUUCUGCUGCUCUCUUAGCAGGGCUUGCUGCUGAAUCUCUAAGGUGUGAUAAUCGCUUGGGGGAUCUGGAUACAUAAAUUUCAGAUCAACUCGUGUUUCUGAAUCUGGUAAAAAAAAUACAUUAUAUAACUAAGUUAAAUGUUGUUUUCAAAUGGGAUUUUAUAAAACGUCACUGUAAGUACCAUAACCUAAUUUCAAAAUCAAGGAACGAUAUAAAUAGUAAAACAUCACUAAAGUCAAAGGACACUAAAACAGCCACAAAACUAAAGAACAUGAAAUUAAUAUUCUUUAGUAAGUGCCUUUUCACAAACUUAUCAACAUAAGGAAUACCCCACAACAAGCAGUGAAUGCUGCAUUCUCCACCUCUACCUGUCUUAGCCCCCAGGAUGCUACCCAGAACACAAACUACGCACAGGUAUAUCCAAGUGGAUAGUCACAUAGCAAUGACUGAGACAGCCAUAAGACACUGUAAUCACAGCUAAUCCCUAAAAUCAACCAGAAACAUGAAAAAAAUGUUACUGACCAAUUAAUAUUUUAGUCCUUACAAAUAUGCAGAAAGCAAGAUAAAUGUAGACUGGCUGGAACUUGAGGGGGAAAUGCCAUUUCUGAAGGAAUUUACCUCUGCCACAAUUUCAUGAAUAUCCCCUGCAAGAGUAAUUUUUUUUUUUUUUUUUUUUUUUUGAGACUAAGUCUUACUCUGUCACCCAAGCUGGAAUGCAGUGGCAGGAUCUCAGCUCACUGCAACCUCCACCUCCUGGGUUCAAGUGAUUCACACCUGCCUCAGCCUCCCAAGCAGCUGGAACUACAGGCUCCUGCCACCAUGCCCAGGUAAUUUUUGUAUUUUAAGGAGAGAUGGGGUUUCACGACGUUGGCCAGGCUAAUCUUGAACUCCUGACCUCAUGAUCCAUCCGCCUCAGCCUCCCAGAGUGCUGGGAUCACAGGUGUGAGCCACUGCGCCCAGCCAAGCAUAAAAAUUUUUAAAUCUUGAAAAGAAACAUACAGUUCGAACAUAUAAAACGCCUUGAAAUUAUUCCCUUUGACUCACUAAUUAUACUGCUGGAAUAUAAAGAAAUGAUACAGUUGUACAGUCCUAGGUAUGUAUAAAGCUUUAUGAUCAGAAACUAUUAAAAGAACAAAAUAGUGAAAAUGGGUAAUAGCCAUUUUCAGAAGUUAACAGAAGCCUCUGGACACAUAAACUUGGAUUGGUCCCUGGCUUCACUGCUUCCAAACUCAUUAAAAAGCAAUACCAACAACCAAAUCAUAGGUGAAUGAGGGCAAGAUGUCAUAACACAGGGAAAUGAAUGGCUAAUUUCUACGGCUUAAACCUUUUUAGUCUCAAGAUCUUUUUACACUCUUAAAAAUUGAGGACCCCAAAGAGCUUUACUUAUGUCUGUCUGUCUGUCUGUCUGUCUCUCACUCUCUCUCUCACACACACACACACACACACACACACACACACUCUCUCUCUCUCUCUCCCCCCCCCACAUUAGAAAUUAAAGAAAUUUUUAAAGCACAAGAAUACACAAGGACACAUUCUGUUAGCUUCAAAGAGAUAAAAUCAUUACGUCAUGUAGCCUCUCGAUAAUCUGUACACACAUGAGAGAAUGAGAAUGAAAAAGACAAAUAAUGUCUUAGUUUAUAAUAAAAACAAUUUUGACUUCACAGGUCCCCAGACCAAACUCCUCAUGAGACCCACGGGCUUAACAUAAUGCCUGGCAGAUAGAAAGUAAUCAAUUUAUGAUAGCACAAAAAUUAACUAUGGUAUAUGUAAUUAGUAAAACUAUGUGAAAAAAUAGAGAAAAUUAACACAAUUUAUCUUUUAAUUAUGCACAGAUAGACUAGAAAACAUCGAAAAUGAUAAUGGUACUUAUAUAUAGACAGUUUGACUAAAGUGAUUUUUCCUUCUAUUUUUCUGUAUUUUGAAAUUUGCUACAGUAAAUAUCACUUUCAAAAUGAUAAAAUGUUUAAAUUCCAGUUUUCUGGCCUAGGUUAUAUGCACAUCCCAUAAUCUGCCUCUUCUGCUCCAACACCUGCUCUACUGAAUAUGCGUAAAGGAAAAGCACACAACAUCCACUUUGGUUCCUCCACACAUUCUCAGUCUCCUAGACCUCAUGUAUCCUGGCAAUCCCGUUUCCCUACUAAACUUUCUCUUCCAUUCACCCUAUAAAUGGCUGUAUCAAAGCUUCUCCCACCUCUUCCUUCAAAUCCUCUAGAUUUCCUCCUGCCUACCCCGGGACCCUGCUCACUUCGAUAAUCACUCUCCCACCUUUCCUAGAGCCUGAGCCUCUUUCUCCUGCAUAGCUCCUAAUAUUCACAUCCUAAUGACUCUUCCAGCUCCUGAUCCAGCUUCCCUUCCCUUUUGCAGCCAAGGGUCUUCCAAAAGGCUUAUGCCUAUUAUCUCCAACAUCUUGCCUCCUAGUCAAUCCUCAUUCCAAAGUUAAUUGGCUUCUGAUCACAACUUCCACUUAAAAAGCUCUAGCUGAGGUCACCUAUGACCUCAUCCAACUGACAUUUUCCAGUAUUCGUCUUACACAAUCCCGUCUCCUUGAUACUCUUUCCCCUCAGGUUUCAGGAUCCUACAUUGUCCUCCUCCUCCUCCAGUCUCUCUGGCUUCUCCUCAGUCUUUUUCAUGAGCUCAGUCUGUCCAUCCUCCAUUAAAUGCAAAGUUCUACUCUUCAUACUCUGAUCUCAUCCAUCCCAGACUUUUAACACUAUAUACUCCCCGAAAGAACUUAGUCAAACUAAAGCUUCAUCUACCAGACUGGUAAACUGAAGACCUAGAGAAUACAGAACUUACAUUCAUUUUAACUUAAAACAUACACUGUAAAUAAAAUUCUACUUUAGAAAAAGGGUACAAAGAUCUUUAUGGAUAUUUAAACAUGGGUAGAACACUCCUGCUCUAUCUUUAAACAAGCAGCAAUCUACUCACCUCUAUCUUUCAGCUCAUUAAAAUCAUGAAUAUUCUGAAAAGUGGCAGCAUCUAAGCCCUUAGGUGACUGUCUUCUGACAGGAGCUUGCAACCGAUGUCUAGCCAUAUCAAAUACACCCAUGGGAUUCCUUUCUCUUUUCCUAUAGAUAAAUGACAAAUCAUAAAAUAUGCUUUAUGGGAAAAAUAUGUGAGUUCACAUCUAAUUCACUGUAAAAUAAAUUUAGUCUCACCACAUCAUAUUAUUAAAAAAUUAUUCUAGGCAAGCUGCUGUGGCACUCAUUUGUAAUCCCAGCACUUUGGGAGGCUGAGAGAGAAGGACUGCUUGAAAUCACGAGCUUAAUACCAGCCUGGCCUAAAAAGCAAAACCUCAUCACUACCAAAAAAAAAAAAAAAAAAAAAAUUAGGCCGGGUGCAGUGGCUCAUGCCUUUAAUUCUAGCACUUUGGGAUGCCAAGGCAGGCAGAUCACCUGAGAUUAGGAGUUCGAGACCAGCCUAGCCAACGUGGAGAAACCUGUCUCAACUAAAAACACAAAACUUAGCUAUGUGCAAUGGCACAUGCCUGUAGUCCCAGCUACUCGAGCGGCUGAGGCAGGAGAAUCACUUGAACUGGGGAGGAGGAGGUUGCAGUGAACCAAGAUCACACCAGUAAACCCCAGCCUGGAUGACAGAGCGAGACUCCAUCUCAAAAAAAAAAGUUGGCUAGCCACAGUGGCUCACACCUGUAAUCACAGCACUUUGGGAGGCUGAGGCGGGAAAAUCAUCUGAGGUUAGGAGUUUGAGACCAGCCUGGCCAAAAUGGUGAAGCCCUGUCUCUAUUAAAAAAUAUAAAAUUUAGCUGGGCAUAGUGGUAUGUGCCUCCAGUCCCUCCUACUCGGGAGGCUAAGGCCUGAGAAUUGCUUGCACCCAGGAGGAGGAGGCUGCAAUAAGCCAAGAUCAUGCCACUGCACUCCAGCUUGGGUGACAGAGUGAGACUCCAUCUCAAAAAAAAAAAAAAAAAAUUUGUCAAGUAUGAUGGUGUGGGCCUGUAGUCCUGGCUGCUGCUGAGACAAGAGGAUUGCUUAAGCCCAAGAGGCCAAGGCUACAAUAAGCUGUGAUCACGCCACUACACUCCAGCCUGGACAACAGAAGGAAAUCAUUGUCUCUUAAAACAAAAAAAUAUUUAAAUAGCUCUAUUAGUUCAAUCCUUUAUCUGAAAAUAUAGCAUAUCUAUAAUGUCAUUGAAAUUUUUCAAAAUCCUCAGAUGCAAGAUAACUUAUUACGAGAGUAGAAUGAUUUAGCUUUACUUUAAAAUGUUCGUGGAAAAAAAUAAAACGUUCAUGGAGCAUGAAAGAUCACAGUCUUUGAGGUCAGAGAAACUGAGAUUCAAAGACCAGCUCUGUUAUUAGCAGUAUGAUCUUGAUUUCAUCAUCUGUAAAAUGCAGAUGUCUACCCCCUAUAAUCUUGUUGUGAACAAGAGAAUUAAGAUUAAAAAAAACUUUUUUUGAGACAGAGCCUUGCUCUGUUGCCCAGGUUAGAGUGUGGUGGAGCGAUCUCAGCUCACUGCAACCUCCACCUCCAGUUCAAGCAAUUCUCCUGCAUCAGCCUCCCAAGUAAAUGGGACUACAGGUGUGUGCCACCACACUUGGCUUUUUUUUUUUUUUGUAUUUUUAGUAGAGAUGGAAUUCUUGCCACAUUGGCCAGACUGGUCUUGAACUCCUGACCUUGGUGAUCCACAGGCCUCGGUCUCUCAAAUGGCUGGGAUUGCAGGCAUGAGACACCGCACCCAGCCAGAAUUAAGAUAAAUUUUAUAUUGUUGAGUACCUAGCACCUGACUUGCAUUAGAUAAUCAAUAAAUUACCUUCCCUUCAGCCUAAAACAGAAAUCACACAUAGAAAUACAGUAAUAGGCAGGGCCCUGUGGCUCAUGCCUAUAAUGCCAGCACUUUGGGAAGUAGACAAAUUGCUUGAGCUCAGGAGUUCAAGACCAGCCUGGGCAAUAUGGAAAAACCCCAUCUCUACUAAAAAAUACAAAAAUUAGCCAGGUGUGGUAGCCUGCACCUAUAGUCCCACCUACUUGGGAGGCUGAGGCACUAGAAUCGCUUGCAUCGGGAGGGAGAGGUUGCCAUGAGCCAAGAUUGUGGCACUGCACUCCAACCUAGGUGCAGAGAGAGACUCUGUCUCCAAAAAAAAGAAAAACAAAUACGGUACUGGCUGGGUCGGGUGGCUCACCCCUGUAAUCCCAACACUUUGAGAGGCUGAGGUGAGUGAUCACCUGAGAUCAGCAGUUCGAGGCCAGCCUGACCAACAUGGUAAAACGCUAUCUCUACUAAAAAUACAAAAAUUAGCUAGGCAUGGUGGCAGGUGCUUGUAAUCUAGCUAUUCAGGAGGCUGAGGCAAGAUAAUCACUUGAACCCAGGAGGCACAGGUUGCAGUAAGCCAAAAAUCGUGUCAUUGCACUCCAGUCUGGGCGACAGAGCAAGACUCUGUCUUAAAAAAAAAAAAAAAAAAAAAAAAUAGAAAUAUGAUACUAAUAUGUAGUUCAAUGUGGGCAUUAUUCAGAGGACCCAACAUUAACUUUACAAUAGACCUUACCAAGGAACUUGAUACCUAACUAGUUAACUGAUUCCUGUGGUACCUAGGAAAUUAACAGACAGCAGGAAGUAAGGGAAUUUUCUGCAAGGGCUUUAAGGGAGUGAUGAUAAGAAAGGGAUGGUGUUUCUAGUCCGGAAAAUAAAACACCUACUGAUGCUUCCUUCAGCACUAGGUCUCCUCUAUUUUUGAAAAUGUAGCUCUAAGCUAUACUGAUUAUGAGGCUUAGUCAGACUCCUUCCAUCAUUUGUUGAUCACUAAAUCUUCCCUACGCACCAAGACAAGAUAGCUGGGAUCCCCAGAGAUGAUGCCCCUGCUUUAAUGGAGUUUCCUUUUUUGCAGGGAACCAUUCACUGGGGCCAUAAAAGGACCCUGGUCAAGACUGACAGAAACCUCUAAUACCUGAGGAGAAAGGAACUCUAUGGAGAUUCAUUAAAAUGUAAAAUACUAAAAAGGCAUCCAAGAGACCAUUAAAUUGUACUGCUGUCUAAUUUCUAUUAAUGCUAAUAGUUAAAUAAACUGUUAAGUUAGGAAGUAGGUUAUUAAAUAUUCACAUGUGAGCUGCAUUCAGCACAUUUGUUUUGAGCCUAGCACACAUAAUAAGAGUUGGAUAAUAUGGUAAAUUAAUUAGUGAAUAAGAGAUUCCUUUUAUACAAAUAUUCAUGAAAUUGAAAUAAAGAACUAACUCUGAGAUGUCUUUAAGCAGGAUAUAUUAAAAUUAUUCCAAAGUAAA